ensembl:lncRNA
AUGCCUAACAUUCCACGCGACCCGAUCCGACUUAUAUUUAUUAAGCACCCACUGUCUACACCGCAUCACGGCAAGAAGCACUGCAGGAAGAAAUGGCCCCACUCCGGAAAAACCAAAAGGACAGCCGCAGGGACUAAGGACGAACCCAGGAGAGGGGUUAGCUGCCUGCGGAGAGGUGGUCUGGAGAGGAGCCCUCACCCUCACGUCGCGGGUCGAGAUAGUCCCAGGGAAGAAAUGGCCCCGAGGGGCGCGCCAGGCCCGGCCUCCCCGGACUCCGCCUCAGACCGGGCUGGAAGGGAAAAGAUAUGAAAACUGAACUGAGAUUAAGAAACAGCUACUAAACACCGGGGUCCUUGGAAGCCAUAUGCUGCACUGGACUAGGAACCUAGUACACCAAAAUUAAAAGUCUGGAAACCUGAAUUCCAGUCCAUUCACAAUUUGCAGACAGGUAAUAUUGCACAAAUAACAUUUGUUGAACACCGUAAAUCAAGUCUGCUAUUUUUUAACCUGAAAAAUGAGGGUGACAUACCAGCUUUGCUAAUUUUGAGAAUUUUUGAACAUUAAAGGAGGUAAUGUACAAUGUCAAAACACUUCAAAAGCUGUAAAGCAUUGUGUGAAUGUAUUAAUAUUAAGCACUUUAGUUUUGGAAAUUGAGCCUACUAGAAAAUCAACUGGAUUCAUGUCACAGAAGACAAUGUUGUGUCCUUAUUAUACGGAAAUACCUCUAUUGUAAAUUAUAAUAAAAAUUAAAAUUUUAGCCAUAUAGUAGGUUAAUUUAUUUGGGUGAAAUUAAAAAUGCCAGUUGUAAUAAGAUGGAGUUUGUAUACUGGAUACAUAGAUUUUCCUUGAAGCUUAUGUAAACUACUGUUCACCUCAGAGACAAUACUAGUAAAUUUUUUAAAUAUGUAUAAUGCAACAAAUUGAUAAAUAGAUACACUACUAAAUAAUAUAGUCUAAUUUUAAAUAUAUUGAAGUCCAUUAGACUUUUGAAAAUAUAAAGUAUUAAAUAACUAAUACUCAUUAAUGUUUCUAUUUAUCAUUAUCACAUACAUGUCUGUUACUUAUACAGGUACAAUACAAACAAACCAAUAACUAGAUGUUUAGAUGAUUUUUUUAAGUGUUACAGUGACUAUGAUAGUGAGUACCUAAUAAAAUUUGAAAUCCUGGUAGCUGUUCUCUGUGUCCUGUGUUCUGAAGCUCAGAUCAAUUUUUCUCUUACGAGGAUUAUUAUAGAAGUCUCCUAAUGAUCUCCCUGCUUCCAAUGCAUUCUCCACCCAUCCUGUACCCCUGCCACCCAUCUUCUGUACUGCAAGUCAAAAUUAUCCUCCUAAAAUAAGAACUGGAUCGUGAUUCCACCCAACUGAAACACCUCACUAAUUUCCCAUCAUUAUCAAAGCUUUUCAGUCUGAGUUGAAAUGGCCAAAAAGAAUACAGGGACCAAGGAUGUGGGGAUAGACACUGAAGUGAGUCAAACCUCUGUAUAAGCUAAAUAGUCAAUCAGUUUGGAUACCAUUAUGUCUUAAUAUAAGAAAGACCUAAAAUUACCACUUAAAAUAUUUAAUUUUCCUUUUAAAAUAUUUGAAUAAAAUUAAAGUUUGGGGGAGAGUCAUUUUUUUCCCUAGGACUCCUGUUCUGUGUGUGUUUCUUAAGGUGGGGUACUGGGGG